AUGACUUCACCAACUGACACCACGACGCGCAACGCUGACCACGUGUCUAGCAAUGCUACUGGUCUUGGUUCCAUCGACCAGUUCAAGUUAGGCAGCGGAGCGGCUCCUGCUGCAGCUCAGAGGUGCUCCGGCUCCAUCUGCAUCUUAGCGACCCGGCAGCUCGAGGAGCUACGCCUCCAUCUGCAUCUCAGGCGGCCUAGCAGCUCCCGCUGCAGCUCGGAGCUGUGGAAUCGGCAGAUGGCGCCGCCCUUGCUUGUAUCCGCGACCCACUUGUUAUAA
rnacentral:rRNA from 1 species